GACGAACGCUGGCGGCGUGCCUAAUACAUGCAAGUAGAACGCUGAAGGAAGGAGCUUGCUCUUUCCGGAUGAGUUGCGAACGGGUGAGUAACGCGUAGGUAACCUGCCUGGUAGCGGGGGAUAACUAUUGGAAACGAUAGCUAAUACCGCAUAACAGUAGAUAUCGCAUGAUAGCUACUUGAAAGGUGCAAUUGCAUCACUACCAGAUGGACCUGCGUUGUAUUAGCUAGUUGGUGAGGUAACGGCUCACCAAGGCAACGAUACAUAGCCGACCUGAGAGGGUGAUCGGCCACACUGGGACUGAGACACGGCCCAGACUCCUACGGGAGGCAGCAGUAGGGAAUCUUCGGCAAUGGACGGAAGUCUGACCGAGCAACGCCGCGUGAGUGAAGAAGGUUUUCGGAUCGUAAAGCUCUGUUGUAAGAGAAGAACGAGUGUGAGAGUGGAAAGUUCACACUGUGACGGUAUCUUACCAGAAAGGGACGGCUAACUACGUGCCAGCAGCCGCGGUAAUACGUAGGUCCCGAGCGUUGUCCGGAUUUAUUGGGCGUAAAGCGAGCGCAGGCGGUUAGAUAAGUCUGAAGUUAAAGGCUGUGGCUUAACCAUAGUACGCUUUGGAAACUGUUUAACUUGAGUGCAAGAGGGGAGAGUGGAAUUCCAUGUGUAGCGGUGAAAUGCGUAGAUAUAUGGAGGAACACCGGUGGCGAAAGCGGCUCUCUGGCUUGUAACUGACGCUGAGGCUCGAAAGCGUGGGGAGCAAACAGG
rnacentral:rRNA from 1 species